rnacentral:lncRNA from 10 species
CCCAGAAUUAGUUUUGCAACUUGAUUCAAAAAUACGGAACACAGAUUCUGCAAAAUGAAGUUCACCUCAAGAACAUAUUCAAAAUCUAUUACCUUGAAGCCUGAUGCUGUCAGUGCAGAUGGAAUAACCUGACAGCUGGUGGUCAAGAUAUCCUGGUAUUCAUGAUGCUGGUGAAGUUGAAUAGCUGAACUGUACUUUGAUUGGUAAGAAAAUGAUGUCUCAAGACACUGCAUCUUAUCCACCAUUACUCAUUAAUUGCCUCAGAAAUUUUAGCUAAUUUUUAAAUGCAAAUAACUGAUAUAGUUUCUACAUUGUUU